GAUGAACGCUGGCGGCGUGCCUAAUACAUGCAAGUCGAGCGAACAGACGAGGAGCUUGCUCCUCUGACGUUAGCGGCGGACGGGUGAGUAACACGUGGAUAACCUACCUAUAAGACUGGGAUAACUUCGGGAAACCGGAGCUAAUACCGGAUAAUAUAUUGAACCGCAUGGGUCAAUAGUGAAAGACGGUUUUGCUGUCACUUAUAGAUGGAUCCGCGCCUCAUUAGGUAGUUGGUAAGGUAAAAGGUUACCAAGGGAACGAGGCGUGACCGACCUCAGGGGCUGAUCGGCCACCCGGGAACUGAGACACGGUCCAGACUCCUGCGGGAGGCAGCAGUAGGGAAUCUUCCGCAAUGGGCGAAAGCCUGACGGAGCAACGCCGCGUGAGUGAUGAAGGUCUUCGGAUCGUAAAACUCUGUUAUUAGGGAAGAACAAAUGUGUAAGUAACUAUGCACGUCUUGACGGUACCUAAUCAGAAAGCCACGGCUAACUACGUG
rnacentral:rRNA from 1 species